AGCGAACGCUGGCGGCAGGCCUAACACAUGCAAGUCGAGCGCCCCGCAAGGGGAGCGGCAGACGGGAGAGUAACACGUGGGAACGUGCCCUUCAGUUCGGAACAACCCAGGGAAACUUGGGCUAAUACCGAAUACGUCCGUAAGGAGAAAGAUUUAUUGCUGAAGGAUCGGCCCGCGUCCGAUUAGCUAGUUGGUGAGGUAAUGGCUCACCAAGGCGACGAUCGGUAGCUGGUCUGAGAGGAUGAUCAGCCUCACUGGGACUGAGACACGGCCCAGACUCCUACGGGAGGCAGCAGUGGGGAAUAUUGGACAAUGGGCGCAAGCCUGAUCCAGCCAUGCCGCGUGGGUGAUGAAGGCCCUAGGGUUGUAAAGCCCUUUCGGCGGGGAAGAUAAUGACGGUACCCGCAGAAGAAGCCCCGGCUAACUUCGUGCCAGCCGCCGCAGUAACAC
rnacentral:rRNA from 1 species